rnacentral:rRNA from 1 species
UACGUAGGGCGCAAGCGUUGUCCGGAAUUAUUGGGCGUAAAGAGCUCGUAGGCGGCUUGUCGCGUCGGAUGUGAAAGCCCGGGGCUUAACUCCGGGUCUGCAUUCGAUACGGGCAGGCUAGAGUGUGGUAGGGGAGAUCGGAAUUCCUGGUGUAGCGGUGAAAUGCGCAGAUAUCAGGAGGAACACCGGUGGCGGAGGCGGCUACCUGGACAGAAACUGACGCUGAGGCACGAAAGCUAGGGGAGCAAACAGG